ACGAUGCGGUAAAAUAAAAAAAACAGAGGGUUUGCAGUCUUCAUUUCAAGCAUGAAGACAUCGAACCCAAUGUACUCGGAAUGAAGCAAAACACGCGAAAGGACACUGGAAUUCCGUUCAUGUUUACCUUCACAGACACGACGAACAGCCGGAGCCAUCUGGUAUCAAACGCAUUCGUCUACGUUUGAGGUUUCCAGAAGAAGAUGCAGAAGAAGGGGGAAAAAAGAACAAUGAAAUCCUCCUUGCAUGGACCAGGUCUGUCCUAAAUCAUAUGUGGUUUUCCUGUGCAACCAGUAAGGGGGACGUUGAGGUACUGAAAUUCCUGUGUAAAUCCAUUCUACACCAUGUGUGUAAUGAGCAUGAGUGUACAGAUGAUGACGGAGGACAUCCUGUGGCAUUUCAAGACCUGUCAUCGCUGGUCCUUGAUAAAAGGCUUCUGAGAGGCA